rnacentral:rRNA from 1 species
AGAGUUUGAUCCUGGCUCAGAACGAACGCUGGCGGCAGGCUUAACACAUGCAAGUCGAACGCACCGCAAGGUGAGUGGCAAACGGGUGAGUAACACGUGGGAAUUUCCCCUGUAGUUCGGGAUAACCAAGGGAAACUUUGGCUAAUACCGGAUACGCAAGAAAUUGGAAAGAUUUAUCGCUAUAGGAUAAGCCCGCGCAAGAUUAGCUAGUUGGUAGGGUAAUGGCCUACCAAGGCAACGAUCUUUAGCUGGUCUGAGAGGACGACCUGCCACACUGGGACUGAGAUACGGCCCAGACUCCUACGGGAGGCAGCAGUGGGGAAUAUUGGACAAUGGACGCAAGUCUGAUCCAGCCAUGCCGCGUGAGUGAUGAAGGCCUUCGGGUUGUAAAGCUCUUUGAGUGGGGACAAUCAUGAUGGUACCCACAGAACAAGCCACGGCUAACUUCGUGCCAGCAGCCGCGGUAAUACGAAGGUGGCUAGCGUUGUUCGGAAUUACUGGGCGUAAAGCGCGCGUAGGCGGCGAGGCAAGUCGAAAGUGAAAUCCCGGGGCUUAACUCCGGAACUGCUUUCGAAACUACUUCGCUUGAAUGUGACAGAGGAUGAUGGAAUUCCUAGUGUAGAGGUGAAAUUCGUAGAUAUUAGGAGGAACACCAGUGGCGAAGGCGGUCAUCUGGGUCAACAUUGACGCUAAGGCGCGAAAGCGUGGGGAGCAAACAGGAUUAGAUACCCUGGUAGUCC